rnacentral:rRNA from 1 species
AGUGAACGCUGGCGGUAGGCCUAACACAUGCAAGUCGAACGGCAGCACAGUAAGAGCUUGCUCUUACGGGUGGCGAGUGGCGGACGGGUGAGGAAUACAUCGGAAUCUACUUUUUCGUGGGGGAUAACGUAGGAAAACUUACGCUAAUACCGCAUACGACCUACGGGUGAAAGCAGGGGAUCUUCGGACCUUGCGCGAUUGAAUGAGCCGAUGUCGGAUUAGCUAGUUGGCGGGGUAAAGGCCCACCAAGUCGACGAUCCGUAGCUGGUCUGAGAGGAUGAUCAGCCACACUGGAACUGAGACACGGUCCAGACGCCUACGGGAGGCAGCAGUGGGGAAUAUUGGACAAUGGGCGCAAGCCUGAUCCAGCCAUACCGCGUGGGUGAAGAAGGCCUUCGGGUUGUGAAGCCCUUUUGUUGGGAAAGAAAAGCAGCAGGUUAAUACCCCGCUGUUCUGACGGUACCCAAAGAAUAAGCACCGGCUAACUUCGUG